CUAAAAGACUAGCGAUUUCAACAUGCCCCACUUCCCACCUGAUCUCAGCCACUGCUUUCUAGUCCCAACUAUAUAGUACUGUGUCCAUUCCCCCUCUCUUGGACUUCAUCCACAUCCCACCUCCCCAAACUCUUCCAGUCUGUCUGUCGAACAUCCCUUUCUGUAUCCAGCAACUUUCCGUAAUUCCUCAAUCUUUACUUGGAACAGAACUCUGUCUCCUUGCCUUGAACAGAAAACUGACUAUCCCACUUUCUCUGCGGCCUCUCUCAGGUACAGAAAAGAAGGAGGAAGACAAUGAAUAAGCCUUUAACACAACUUGUGAAAUAAAGAUUUUGGAAACUUCUCGGUAUACUAAAUAGUGAAAACAUGAACAAUGCAGAAUAUGUAGAAGAAAAUUUUCAGCAGAGGAGAGAGGCGUAGGAUACUCACCAGAACACUGAAGAGGAUCCAGAAUCAGUGAAGACACCAGAAGAGGGGGUCAUUCUUGACAUUAGUCUCAAAAGCUUGGGCGCUGCUGAACCAGAGUGAAAAUGGAAUAUGGCAUAUGUUUCUACCUGCCCAGGUCUACAGCAGUCUGCAAUUGAUUUGGGAGUACAGUAAGAAGUAUAUGUCUAUCUACCCCUCCUCCCAGUAUACAAUUGCCUCUAUCAUCACCAUUUAUUCAAAAGACUUUCUCUUUCCUCUGUACUUAAGUGACAAUAAAGAAAGGAAGAAAGAGAAAGAGAAGAAUUUAAGAGAAAGAAAGGAGAAAGAAAAAAAUAAAAGAAAUAAAAUGAGAAAAAGAGAAAAGAUUAAAGA
ensembl:lncRNA